rnacentral:rRNA from 2 species
UUGUGGCCUUGAGCCGUGGCUUUCGGAGCUAACGCGUUAAGUAGACCGCCUGGGGAGUACGGUCGCAAGAUUAAAACUCAAAUGAAUUGACGGGGGCCCGCACAAGCGGUGGAGCAUGUGGUUUAAUUCGAUGCAACGCGAAGAACCUUACCUACUCUUGACAUCCAGAGAACUUUCCAGAGAUGGAUUGGUGCCUUCGGGAACUCUGAGACAGGUGCUGCAUGGCUGUCGUCAGCUCGUGUCGUGA